UCGGAAUGGGCACAGCCUGAUGCAGCGACGCCGCGUGCGGGAUGGAGGCCUUCGGGUUGUAAACCGCUUUUGUUCAAGGGCAAGGCACGGUUUCGGCCGUGUUGAGUGGAUUGUUCGAAUAAGCACCGGCUAACUACGUGCCACCAGCCGCGGUAAUACGUAGGGUGCGAGCGUUAUCCGGAUUUAUUGGGCGUAAAGGGCUCGUAGGCGGUUCGUCGCGUCCGGUGUGAAAGUCCAUCGCCUAACGGUGGAUCUGCGCCGGGUACGGGCGGGCUGGAGUGCGGUAGGGGAGACUGGAAUUCCCGGUGUAACGGUGGAAUGUGUAAAUAUCGGGAAGAACACCAAUGGCGAAGGCAGGUCUCUGGGCCGUCACUGACGCUGAAGAGCGAAAGCGUGGGGAGCGAACAGGAUUAGAUACCCGAGUAGUCCAAAGU
rnacentral:rRNA from 1 species